rnacentral:rRNA from 1 species
GACGAACGCUGGCGGCGUGCCUAAUACAUGCAAGUCGAACGCUUCUUUCCUCCCGAGUGCUUGCACUCCAUUGGAAAGAGGAGUGGCGGACGGGUGAGUAACACGUGGGUAACCUACCCAUCAGAGGGGGAUAACACUUGGAAACAGGUGCUAAUACCGCAUAACAGUUUAUGCCGCAUGGCAUAAGAGUGAAAGGCGCUUUCGGGUGUCGUUGAUGGAUGGACCCGCGGUGCAUUAGCUAGUUGGUGAGGUAACGGCUCACCAAGGCCACGAUGCAUAGCCGACCGGAGAGGGUGAUCGGCCACACUGGGACUGAGACACGGCCCAGACUCCUACGGGAGGCAGCAGUAGGGAAUCUUCGGCAAUGGACGAAAGUCUGACCGAGCAACGCCGCGUGAGUGAAGAAGGUGUUCGGAUCGUAAAACUCUGUUGUUAGAGAAGAACAAGGACGUUAGUAACUGAACGUCCCCUGACGGUAUCUAACCAGAAAGCCACGGCUAACUACGUG